CCUACGGGUGGCAGCAGUGAGGAAUAUUGGUCAAUGGACGGAAGGCUGAACCAGCCAAGUAGCGUGAAGGAAGAAGGCCCUAUGGGUUGUAAACUUCUUUUAUAGGGGAAUAAAGUGAUCCACGUGUGGAUUUUUGCAUGUACCCUAUGAAUAAGCAUCGGCUAACUCCGUGCCAGCAGCCGCGGUAAUACGGAGGAUCCGAGCGUUAUCCGGAUUUAUUGGGUUUAAAGGGUGCGUAGGUUGGUUUUUAAGUCAGCUGUGAAAGUUUGUGGCUCAACCAUAAAAUUGCCGUUGAAACUGGGAGACUUGAGUGCGUUUGAGGUAGGCGGAAUUCGUGGUGUAGCGGUGAAAUGCAUAGAUAUCACGCAGAACUCCGAUUGCGAAGGCAGCUUACU
rnacentral:rRNA from 1 species